rnacentral:lncRNA from 1 species
UUCCCCCAAACUUAAGUUUUUGUCUAAAUUCAGUCAUCGCCGCCUAUUCAUGUCUUUCAUUCAUUUAAACUAGUAUUAUCCUCAAGAAGUCCAUUAUGUGUCAAUUUAAACUCAAUCAGUCAACAUAGCUGUUUUUACUGUGCUAUCCUUAUUAUAUCAGUUUCAAACAGGUAAAGAUUCAAAUCAUGACAAGAAAUCACAUCACAGUCUUAACAGUCAGUACUAUACUUGUCUACUCAAUUCUAAUCUCAUCACUGGCCAAAACAGACUUAAACUAUCUAACAGCCGGAAACAUGCAAAUAUUUGAAAUUUUCUUUUCUUUUUC